rnacentral:rRNA from 1 species
CCAGCAGCCGCGGUAAUGGGCGUAAAGAGCUCGCCUGCGGAUCCUCCUUUCUGGUGUGCUACCCCUCAUUUCCCUCUGUGCCUCCUUUUAUCUGGGUGACUUUAGUGUUGCAGAGGUCCCUGUAAUUCCUGGCGUUGCGGUGGACUGUGCAGAAUAUGGAAGAACACCGAUGGCGAAGGCGAAUUUCUGGCCCCUACUGACGCUGAGGAGCGAAAGCGUGGGGAGCAAACAGGAUUAGAUACCCUGGUAGUCCACGUCGUAAACGAUGAUUGCUAGAUGUGGGGCUGCCUGCACUCCGGCGACGUAGCAAACGCAUCAUUAAGUUCGCCUGCUGAGCACGACCUCUCGAUUAAUACUAAUACAAGGUGAUGCUGGACCGCCGAACCGGCGUAGGAUGAGGUUUAAUUCUUAGAUGCAACCAGAAUCACAUUACCUUUUGUUGAGUUAGGAUCGAAAGAGAGAUCCAGCUUUCUCCCCGGUGACCAGGACACAGGUGCUGUAUGGAUGACGUCAGCUUCGCGUCGUGAGAUUUUUUUUUAAGUCCCGCAACGAGCGCACCCCUCGCUCUUGUUUGCCAUCAUCUAUGUGGGAAACACAUAGGGACUGCCCGUGUUAAUCUCUAAGAAAGUGGGUAUGACGGCCGUCCAUAUGGCCCCUACUGGCUGGUCCACCCACCUUCUACCAUGGCGACUAACGAAGGUUUAUUCAUAAAAAGCGUGGCGUGAAGAACCGUCAGCUGCACUCGAUCGCAUGUAGGUGCGCUCGCUACAAUCCCUGGAUCAGAGUGUCGUGUAGUAGUCGAUCCAGGUCCUUGCUUCGAUUGCCCUACCGCCGUCGUAGUAGCUUUGGUC